UCAUGGGCGCAGGCCUGAACCAGCCAAGUAGCGUGAAGGAUGACUGCCCUACNGGUUGUAAACUUCUUUUAUAAAGGAAUAAAGUCGGGUAUGGAUACCCGUUUGCAUGUACUUUAUGAAUAAGGAUCGGCUAACUCCGUGCCAGCAGCCGCGGUAAUACGGAGGAUCCGAGCGUUAUCCGGAUUUAUUGGGUUUAAAGGGAGCGUAGAUGGAUGUUUAAGUCAGUUGUGAAAGUUUGCGGCUCAACCGUAAAAUUGCAGUUGAUACUGGAUAUCUUGAGUGCAGUUGAGGCAGGCGGAAUUCGUGGUGUAGCGGUGAAAUGCUUAGAUAUCACGAAGAACUCCGAUUGCGAAGGCAGCCUGCUAAGCUGCAACUGACAUUGAGGCUCGAAAGUGUGGGUAUCAAACAGGAUUAGAUACCCUGGUAGUCCAAGGGCGAAUUC
rnacentral:rRNA from 1 species